rnacentral:rRNA from 1 species
GCAAUCAUGUGUCUAUUAAUUGUAGACAGGUAUGAAAGAAUAAACAUAAAAAAAUUUUUUUUAGUUAAAAUUAGAACUUAAAAAAUUAAAAAAUAAAAUUUAAAAUUACAAGACGAGAAGACCCUAAAAACUUUCUGUAAACAGUUUUUUGGGGAAAAUUUUUAUAAAAUUUUUAAAAAAAAUUAUGAAAAAACUAUAAAAGAAAAAAUAAGUUACUUUAGGGAUAACAGAGCAAUAUUUGUUUAAAGACCUUAUUUAAGCUAAAGAUUGCGACCUCGAUGUUGGAUUCUCUAAUCUAAAACUUGCAGCAAAGUUUUAAGAGUUGACUGUUCGUUUUUUAAAAAGAG